UACAGAGGUCUCAAGCGUUGUUCGGAUUCAUUGGGCGUAAAGGGUGCGUAGGCGGCGCGGUAAGUCGGGUGUGAAAUCUCGGAGCUUAACUCCGAAACUGCAUUCGAUACUGCCGUGCUUGAGGACUGGAGAGGAGACUGGAAUUUACGGUGUAGCGGUGAAAUGCGUAGAUAUCGUAAGGAAGACCAGUGGCGAAGGCGGGUCUCUGGACCAGUUCCUGACGCUGAGGCACGAAGGUCAGGGAGCAAACGGG
rnacentral:rRNA from 1 species